CACAAAGCUGUGUGCAUCCUUGCUUUGGUGAGCUUCCAGCGCGGCCAGAUGAGUUCGCACGUUCAGCCCCUGCGGAUCCUGGAUUUGGUUUUAUUUCCUCCAUCCCGAUGGACCAUAAGUGGGGAUCCUCACCACGUUGCUGGCGGGGCUGGUGCUCGGCCCAUCUUCGCAGGAGUCUGUUGCUCUCGUUCUCUGUCAUAGGCUUUGACGGAUGCCUCGGGGAGAAGGAGGGCAGGGCAGGGACCGAUGUGCCAAAUGACGGAUGGUGCGGUCUGCUGCAAGCCAGUUCCUGGCAAACGGUGAAAGCGGUGCAUUGGCUGCUGCUGUGAGCCCCCCCUGGAGCAGCCUGGUGGCAUGGGGAUGAGCACUGAUGUGCUGCUUGGAGCAUCGAAUCGACGUGUGCUUGUGAGGCUUCAGUCUGUUUCAUGAUCUUACAAAUAAGACCUGCUGGCGUCAGAAACACAAAGCAAAUGCGUCGUGGAUCGAGCAAGGAAGCAGUGUUGUGUGGGCAGACCUGGAUGUGCUGUCUGCAGGGCAGAGCGG
rnacentral:lncRNA from 1 species